rnacentral:rRNA from 1 species
CUACGGGGUGCUGCAGUGAGGAAUAUUGCACAAUGGGGGGAACCCUGAUGCAGCAACGCCGCGUGGAGGAUGACGCAUUUCGGUGUGUAAACUCCUUUUAUAUGUCAAGAAAAUGACGGUAGCAUAUGAAUAAGCACCGGCUAACUCCGUGGCCAGCAGCCGCGGUAAUACGGAGGGUGCAAGCGUUACUCGGAAUCACUGGGCGUAAAGGACGCGUAGGCGGGGUGGAAAGUCAGGUGUGAAAUCCUACAGCUUAACUGUAGAACUGCACUUGAAACUUCUAAUCUAGAGUAUGGGAGGGGGAGAUGGAAUUAGUGGUGUAGGGGUAAAAUCCGUAGAUAUCACUAGGAAUACCUAAAGCGAAGGCGAUCUCCUGGAACAUUACUGACGCUAAGGCGUGAAAGCGUGGGGAGCAAACAGGAUUAGAUACCCCUGUAGUC